AUAUAUCAACCUCUUCUAAGUUUUUUUGUCUUGCAGAGUGUAUGGAUGUGGGGGGAGUUAUUUUGUCUGGGCUUUCUUUAAGAGGUCAGCUCCCCUGAAAUGCAUUGGCAGAACAAUUUGCUGACCGUCCAUUGGUGUGAUAGCUAUCUACGCUAUUGACGUGAAGCAGUUCAGCUUAUAGCAGUCCAUUGACUUGGACAAUCUUUAUCAAU
rnacentral:misc_RNA from 1 species